AUGACGGCGCGUCGGCUGCUCCUCCGUCAUGGUGUCGUUGAAGUGUGCAUGCACCUGCUCCAUGGUCAAGCCGACAUGAACCGGUGGGGGCUUCGACGUCGAGUCAUCGUCGGAGCCCGUCUCCCUUGUCGGGUCGUCAUUGGAGACUUCCGGGGAGCUGGUCCGCAUGCCGCCCUCUAUUAUAGAUGGGCAAAUCUGUUUGGAAACAGAACUCUUUUAUCGUGCAAUUAG
rnacentral:rRNA from 1 species